UUGGCGUGUUUGUUUUUAAAAAAUAUAUAUAUCUGUGAGGAAAACUUACUUGUAUCUUAUGUGUGUAGAUUCCUGUGGAGCGAAUCCAUCCAUGAGAUUGGCUACUGCUGGUUUAAUGUGGAAGAAGUGGUUGACAAAGAUGGAAUGACAAAAACAAAACGGUGGAGCUGAAUAACUACAAGAACAAUAAACUACAAAUAGAUGAAACAAAACUGAUCAAAUUCACUGACAUAUUAGCUGUCGGGGUUGCUUCUGCUGCAUCAUCCUCAGUAAUAACAACAACUAGUAACGAGCCCUCACAGUCACGAGAGUGUGGUGUUGCUAGCCUCUUGUGGCUGUGCAGAAAGGAUAGCAGCUGAAGGGUGUAAGAUGGAGCAACAUGUAAUUACCAGUGGCAGAAAAAAUCUUCCAUCCUCAGUCUGUUGUACAAUCAACUUACAUCCACGAUGUAUGCAACCAUGAUUGAAUCGGUGAAUGAACAAAUUAAACCACGGAUAUAAUAUAUGGACAUACUGUAUACAUAUCCAUGCUUGUGAAUAUGAAUUUAAUAAUUUUCUCUCCUCGUAUGACCUAUGCGUGUGAGUGAGAUUGUUUUUAUGUG